UACGUAGGGUGCAAGCGUUACUCGGAAUUACUGGGCGUAAAGCGUGCGCAGGCGGCUUUGCAAGUCAGAUGUGAAAUCCCCGGGCUCAACCUGGGAACUGCAUUUGUGACUGCAAGGCUGGAGUACGAGAGAGGGGGAUGGAAUUCCGCGUGUAGCAGUGGAAUGCGUAGAUAUGCGGAGGAACACCGAUGGCGAAGGCAAUCCCCUGGGCCUGUACUGACGCUCAUGCACGAAAGCGUGGGGAGCAAACAGG
rnacentral:rRNA from 1 species